GUUGCGGCGUUCUCUAAUUCGCUUGGUGCAGGUCGGGACCAUGUUACACACACCUAUACAUACAUAUAUUCGUGUAUACAUAUGUUUGUGUGGUCCCGUUUUGCAUCAAUUGAAUCGGAGAGCGCUGCGAGU
rnacentral:pre_miRNA from 1 species